rnacentral:rRNA from 1 species
GACGGAGGAUGCAGUGUUAUCCGGAAUCACUGGGCGUAAAGCGUCUGUAGGUGGUUUAAAAAGUCUAUUGUUAAAAAUUGAAGCUUAACUUCAAAGAUGCAAUGGAAACUUUUAAACUUGAGUAUGGUAGGGUAGAGGGAAUUUCCAGUGGAGCGGUGAAAUGCGUAGAUAUUGGAAAGACCACCAAUGGCGAAGGCACUCUACUGGGCCAUUACUGACACUGAGAGACGAAAGCUAGGGGAGCAAAUGG